rnacentral:rRNA from 1 species
GAUGAACGCUGGCGGCGUGCUUAACACAUGCAAGUCGAGCGAAGCGCUUUUGCGGAUUUCUUCGGAUUGAAGCAACUGUGACUGAGCGGCGGACGGGUGAGUAACGCGUGGGUAACCUACCUCAUACAGGGGGAUAACGGUUGGAAACGGCUGCUAAUACCGCAUAAGCGCACAGUACCGCAUGGUACCGUGUGAAAAACUCCGGUGGUAUGAGAUGGACCCGCGUCUGAUUAGCUAGUUGGUGGGGUAACGGCCUACCAAGGCGACGAUCAGUAGCCGACCUGAGAGGGUGACCGGCCACAUUGGGACUGAGACACGGCCCAAACUCCUACGGGAGGCAGCAGUGGGGAAUAUUGCACAAUGGGGGAAACCCUGAUGCAGCGACGCCGCGUGAGCGAUGAAGUAUUUCGGUAUGUAAAGCUCUAUCAGCAGGGAAGAAAAUGACGG